GGUUGGUAUUAUUUAUCAAUCUAUAACUUCUCGUUCCUUCUUUUCUGCACGUGACUGGCGUCAUCAUUCUAACUCUAGUCCUCGUUGAACUAUAUAUAAAGUGUCCUCAGUGGGUCACCGGGACACCAUUGAGAUGAUACCUUGAACAAAACACUUGGAAUUUACCUUGGUGUUUAGGAUAAUGAUUUUUUGGACAGUCGGGUAGUAUCCGUUAACCAAUUGUUCCACACAAGUUUAGCGUGGCUGCGUUAUCUGAUAUUUUGAACAGAAAGGUAUAAUUGUAUGAUCUACCGUGAACUCGGGAAAUAAUACAAACGGAACGUAACGACAACAGACAACCAAGCAGGUCGACGGUGUUCGAACGGAACAAAAACAUUUUGGAAUCAGACUACACUUCCAUUACAUUUUGGAUUUCGUCUCAUAUGCAUUGUUUCAUGAAAUGGCAUAUACCCUCGCUCGAAACAACGUUCUUACAUGCAUAACAGUCUCGUUCGAAA
rnacentral:lncRNA from 1 species